UACGGAGGAUGCGAGCGUUAUCCGGAUUUAUUGGGUUUAAAGGGAGCGCAGGCGGUUUUUUAGGCCAGCCGUGAAAUUUCCGCGCUCAACGCGGUCCUUGCGGUUGGAACCGGAUGACUAGAGUGGGGUACAGGAAGGCGGAAUUCGUGGUGUAGCGGUGAAAUGCUUAGAUAUCACGAAGAACCCCGAUUGCGAAGGCAGCUUUCCGGACCCUUACUGACGCUCAUGCUCGAAAGCGCGGGAAU
rnacentral:rRNA from 1 species